rnacentral:misc_RNA from 1 species
GAAAUGCGAUAAUUAAUGUGAAUUGCAGAAUUCAGUGAAUCAUCGAGUCUUUGAACGCACAUUGCGCCCCCUGGUAUUCCGGGGGGCAUGCCUGUCCGAGCGUCAUUGCUGCCCUCAAGCACGGCUUGUGUGUUGGGCUUCCGUCCCUGGCAACGGGGACGGGCCCAAAAGGCAGUGGCGGCACCAUGUCUGGUCCUCGAGCGUAUGGGGCUUCGUCACCCGCUCCCGUAGGUCCAGCUGGCAGCUAGCCUCGCAACCAAUCUUUUUAACCAGGUUGACCUCGGAUCAGGUAGGGAUACCCGCUGAACGUAAGCA